GAAAUGCGAUAAGUAAUGUGAAUUGCAGAAUUCAGUGAAUCAUCGAAUCUUUGAACGCACAUUGCGCCCACUAGUAUUCUAGUGGGCAUGCCUGUUCGAGCGUCAUUUCGACCCUCAAGCCUCGGUCGCUUGGUGUUGGGAAUUUAUCUUGCGUAGCGGGUAAUUCCUCAAAGCUAUCGGCGGUGGCCAGUGGUACCCCUAAGCGCAGUAAACAUCUUCUCGCUUUUGUUCUGGAACCCUGGGCUCUAGCCGUUAAACCCCCCUAUUUUUCUAGCGGUUGACCUCGGAUCAGGUAGGAAUACCCGCUGAACUUAA
rnacentral:misc_RNA from 1 species